UUAUCGCUCUCGGCCUUUUGGCUCAGAUCAAGUGUAGUAUCUGUUCUUAUCAGUUUAAUAUCUGAUACGUCCCCAUCGGGGGACUACAUAUUAAAUGGAUUUUUCGAACAGGGAGUCGGAAAUGGGGCUUGCUCCGUCCGCUCCACGCAUCGACCCGGUAUUGCAGUACCUCCGGGAACGGUGCAACACUU
rnacentral:snRNA from 1 species